CCUAUCCAGGAUGACAAAUUGAUCUCAUACAUCCUCCAUGGCCUGGACGUCGACUACCAGCCGCUCGUCUCUGCCCUUGACGCCUGCGUCACACCCGUCACCCUCGACGAGCUCUAUGCCAUGCUGAGUAACUUUGAUC
rfam:Triticum aestivum genome assembly, contig: Triticum_aestivum_CS42_TGACv1_scaffold_404259_5BL